ensembl:lncRNA
GGCCGCUAUAUAAAAAAGUUUCAGUUAUCAACUUAAGAUACAUAAUUGUAAUCAGAAAUUUAUUUUGGAGAGUUUACUGCAUUUGCAGGCAUUUCGGAAUAAUACUGAAUUCCGCGACGCUUCGUAAAUUCAAAUUGCAAACAAUGUGAAAAUGCACAAAAGAAGUUUGCCGGUGUCUUUGCAUUUUAUCUGAAUCAGUGCAUUUUAAUCGCCGUACGCUGUGCUUCCGAAAUGUAUGUUAUAAAUGCUUCCAUCAUGUAAGCAAUCAGUGUAUCGAAAAGGGAAAAAAGCAUGCACACACACAUACACACAGAUUUGCACACGCUGCUGUGACUUACACACAUCUGCGAGGACGUCAGCGUCCGGAGGCAGCGCUUCCCACAGGCCUCUUUUUUCUUGCUGCGGAGAGAAAGAGAGAGAGGGGCUGCGAGUCCGUCCCGUUCCGUUAUCCCGUCUGGUCUCCAAUUCCAGUUUCUCCUCUCGGCAGGCCAGCAUAGGGCUCUGGUUAGGCUCUCCGGCUGUUCGGCUGGGCCUCUGGAACAAUAGGAGGCCUCCGGGGCGUCUGGGAGGCGUGUGUGAACACCGUCUGUGGACCGGAGCGCGUCUCGCUGAAUGGUGCGUGUUAGCAAACACACAAUUAGCGUGUCUGCCACAUGCAAAUGGUCCCGCAGUUACCACGGCACAUGCGAUCGGCUCUCGAAGGCCCGAGGAGCAUCAAACAGGCUUGAAUAAACGCCCCCACCUCUUCUUUCACGAUCCUCUUUUUCUGUGUCUUCCCCUCCCCUCGCAACCAUCCUUCACUUUUUUCUGCGUUAGUUGCACGGAUGCAUGCGAGUUUGCAUUUUCCACUCACCCCCGACGUUUCCUUGUGCAGAUCACUGAUAUUUUCACUCGCCUUUUGUGAGCAAUUGGCACCUGUCCCAGAGUGGAGCAGCUUCACUCCGGAAUCCCCUGUCCGAAUGCAUCGGGAACGGGUAAGUCGUAGGUCAGUACUUCCAAUUGGCAAAUCCAGCAGGUUUUUGGCCUGGCCCUGCACCGGCGUGGGCUGCGGGUCAAGGUGGACUCGGCCGCUCACUGAAAUUGAAAAAGAAAAUGUCAAAAUAGGCACUUCGCAAACCGAAUGCAGUUGCAAACCUUGCUAAAAUUCCGCAAUCGGGUGCAUGAAAAAGCACAGAAACAUACUGGAAAUCUGGGAGCGUGUUGGCAGGCUUGUGGGGGAGCCUCUUUCGCGCUCUAGUCAGGAGGCCCUCACUGUAAAAAAAAAAAAAGAAGAAGCUUGGUUUUUUCUUUCCCCUUUAUCCCCCUUACACUCUCUAAACUAGUCUCCAGUGGGUCUCCACCUUGCAAAAACAGCGGAGCUCGAGGAACCCGUACGGAAAGCGAAAGAACGGUGGAGAGGGAAAGAGAGAUAUGAAACUGGAGACGUAGAGGGGUGAAACUCCUCAUCAGACGUCCCACAUGGCCUUGCACUUGAAAGAGAGAGAAAA